GGGGAUUUAGCUCAGCGGCAUAAGCGCCUGCCUUGCAAGCAGGCAGUUGUGAGUUCGAUCCCCGGUACCCA
rnacentral:tRNA from 1 species